AACAUAGUAAUAUUUACCUUUAAUAUUAUGAGCAACAAGACCGAACAAGAUAGACGAAAAGUUGAAUUUCAUACAAGGCAUUAGAGGACCGAUGCUUGCAAUGAUUUGCGAUUAUACACAAGAACGACGCCUGGAUUUAGUACCAAUGCAACAGCCUUUAUAUACUUUGCUUUCAUGUCCUAACACACAAAAGUCAGAUGCCGUUGAAUUCUUCUGCAACCUUUUCAUGAACUCGUCGGUGGAGAUCAGACCACUGGCAGCCAGCAUGUUGGCCACUUGAAUUGGCUCCUUUAUCUAUUGCCAUUAAGCUUUGAGAUAAAGGCACUGCGACUAAAGAUCUUCAAGUGCAAGAUAUCUGACUAUCCAUAGCACGAGCAGCACAUGCUGGCGUAGAAGCUGGACACCGCGUGCCGGCCCAGGAACAGCCAUCUGCUUUUCUUGAGACAGAAGUCCGGGUAUGGUGCUAGGUGCCCACAUGGAUCACGCUUAGGAGUGACUUUAUGCACAUAUGUAUCUACGAAUAACGCCAGCAUAUGACUGAUCUUUCUUCAGUUGCAUAACAUUUUUGGUAUUUGAAGAUUGUACACGUCAAGAAUGACCAUUCAAUUCAAUAGUUUAAUUUAUUUCUUAAUAUAU